UGGGGAAUAUUGCACAAUGGGCGCAAGCUUGAUGCAGCCAUGCCGCGUGUGUGAAGAAGGCCUUCGGGUUGUAAAGCACUUUCAGCGGGGAGGAAGGCGUUAAGGUUAAUAACCUUGGCGAUUGACGUUACCCGCANAAGAAGCACCGGCUAACUCCGUGCCAGCAGCCGCGGUAAUACGGAGGGUGCAAGCGUUAAUCGGAAUUACUGGGCGUAAAGCGCACGCAGGCGGUCUGUCAAGUCGGAUGUGAAAUCCCCGGGCUCAACCUGGGAACUGCAUUCGAAACUGGCAGGCUAGAGUCUUGUAGAGGGGGGUAGAAUUCCAGGUGUAGCGGUGAAAUGCGUAGAGAUCUGGAGGAAUACCGGUGGCGAAGGCGGCCCCCUGGACAAAGACUGACGCUCAGGUGCGAAAGCGUGGGGAGCAAACAGGAUUANAUACCCUGGUAGUCCACGCCGUAAACGAUGUCGAUUUGGAGGUUGUGCCCUUGAGGCGUGGCUUCCGGAGCUAACGCGUUAAAUCGACCGCCUGGGGAGUACGGCCGCAAGGUUA
rnacentral:rRNA from 1 species